ACUAGCAGAAAGCCAAGCAGCAGCUGCUGGUGCUACCCCUCUCCCAUGGCUGAGCCCAGGUUUCUUCUGAUGCAAGGGGCCUUACCAGUCUCUUACCUAGUAGUCCCUCAUACAGAUAGACUCGCUGGCUUACGUCUUCAGAAGAGCGAAUUGGACUGCCAGCCAACUUCUCCUUUGGCUUCAAGCUAUGGGCUUUACCCUAGAAAGACAAGGUGUCAAACAGCUGCCCCCAACCCCCUUAUGAGAUGAGUGACAUUCUGUGCACACACCUGAGAGUCAAGCCGACCCGAGACUAAGAACAGCCUCCAAGGGAAGGAGCCCUUCCAAGAAGACACCCACACCUCGCCCACAAAGAAGCCAAUGUGGUAUCCCCCUACCACGGUGCUAACUUCAGAAUCCUGACUUGAGCUUCGGACCAUAACAGCUGGACUCACACCAACGACCGAGUCUUGAUCAGUCCUCUGAAAUGAGGCAAAGGAACACCUAUAUUGCUUCUAGAAAGAUCCUGAGCAAUGAGUUCUUUUCUUAGCUGGAAUAUAUGUAACUUAUACAAUGAAAUACCGCAUUAAAUAAAUACAUACUCACUAUGGAAAACAAAAGAAAGAAUAAAGAAAUAAGAAUAAGCCAUAAAUCUAC